rnacentral:rRNA from 1 species
UACAGAGGUCUCAAGCGUUGUUCGGAUUCAUUGGGCGUAAAGGGUGCGUAGGUGGCGGGGUAAGUCAGGUGUGAAAUCUCGGAGCUCAACUCCGAAACUGCAUUUGAUACUGGCGUGCUUGAGGACUGGAGAGGAGACUGGAAUUCAUGGUGUAGCAGUGAAAUGCGUAGAGAUCAUGAGGAAGACCAGUGGCGAAGGCGGGUCUCUGGACAGUUCCUGACACUGAGGCACGAAGGCCAGGGGAGCAAACGGG